GAGGCAUAUAUCGGCCCGUUUGUGAUGUUGUUGAUACAGUCAAAUCUGUCUUCGUGCUCACAGAAGUAAUUUUCUUCUUAUCAGUGAUGGCAAUCAUACUGUGUGAUUUAUUAGCAAGGCCAUAAUGAAUAAAAUUCCUCAAAGCCACAACAAGACCUGCCACAUGGCCAGACAACGGUCCCUUGGAAUCUGUAAGAACCAAGUGCAGACAAUGUAGAAGUGAGGUAUAAAACCGGGCAGUGGCUCCGUCUUCCUUAACAAGCCCCUUAGAUGCCACCGUUUCCAAAAUGU
rnacentral:misc_RNA from 1 species